rnacentral:rRNA from 1 species
UACGUAGGGUGCGAGCGUUUGUCCGGAAUUAUUGGGCGUAAAGAGCUUGUAGGCGGUUUGUCGCGUCUGCUGUGAAAAUCCGGGGCUCAACCCCGGACUUGCAGUGGGUACGGGCAGACUAGAGUGUGGUAGGGGAGACUGGAAGUUCCUGGUGUAGCGGUGGAAUGCGCAGAUAUCAGGAGGAACACCGAUGGCGAAGGCAGGUCUCUGGGCCACUACUGACGCUGAGAAGCGAAAGCAUGGGGAGCGAACAGG